rnacentral:sRNA from 1 species
AAUGGAAAAUCGCUUGGUUAAAACCUGACACUCUUAACAGGUAUGUGUUGUUUUAGUACUUUAUGAUUGAGCAUACCAUUUAAUCCACACCUAAACUAAAUCAAAUUUUUUUUGUCAGUGAACAGCGUUCUGAGUGUGGACGAGUAGCCAGUGAAGAUAAUGAAUGUCGAACGUGACUGACUAGCAGCUUCAUUUUGAAGUAGGUUGUAUGGCUUAAAACUUCUGUAGUAUUUGUACUAUAAUACUUGCCUUUUAGCAUUACCUUGGUUUGUGGUCAGUGUCACAGAAGUGCAGUUUAAUGUAUUAUGUGUACAUAUACAAGGUCUGAUUGGUCUAAUCAAUGAUGAAACCUAUCCCGAAGCUGAUAACCUGAAGAAAAAUAAGUACGGAUUCGGCUUCUGAGAUUAAGACCAGUAAUUCAGAGGUGGAGUAAAUUUUGUUGCCGUGAUUUUAUAACAGUUGUGUUAUAAAAUCCUGGGGUUUUUUUUUUCUGCCAACAGUGAGGGUCGCUGUCUGCCCAUUGAUAGAGGCCAGAUUGUCUUGGAAGUUCCAAAGUUGCAACGAUUUCUGGCUAGUGCCACGAGGUUUACUUGACUGUUGUGUGAAAAGCUGAUAAGAAAACCAUCCAGAAAAAAGCUCUUCGUUUUACAAACAUGAAAAUAAAACAUGUAAUUUUGGA